rnacentral:rRNA from 1 species
GAUGAACGCUGGCGGCGUGCCUAAUACAUGCAAGUCGAGCGAAUGGAUUAAGAGCUUGCUCUUAUGAAGUUAGCGGCGGACGGGUGAGUAACACGUGGGUAACCUGCCCAUAAGACUGGGAUAACUCCGGGAAACCGGGGCCAAUACCGGAUAACAUUUUGAACCGCAUGGUUCGAAAUGGAAAGGCGGCUUCGGCUGGCACUUAUGGAUGGACCCGCGUCGCAUUAGCUAGUUGGUGAGGUAACGGCUCACCAAGGCAACGAUGCGUAGCCGACCUGAGAGGGUGAUCGGCCACACUGGGACUGAGACACGGCCCAGACUCCUACGGGAGGCAGCAGUAGGGAAUCUUCCGCAAUGGACGAAAGUCUGACGGAGCAACGCCGCGUGAGUGAUGAAGGCUUUCGGGUCGUAAAACUCUGUUGUUAGGGAAGAACAAGUGCUAGUUGAAUAAGCUGACACCUUGACGGUACCUAACCAGAAAGCCACGGCUAACUACGUGCCAGCCGCCGCGGUAA